GUGGGGAAUUUUGGACAAUGGGCGCAAGCCUGAUCCAGCAAUGCCGCGUGCAGGAAGAAGGCCUUCGGGUUGUAAACUGCUUUUGUACGGAACGAAACGGUCCGGGUUAAUACCCUGGGCUAAUGACGGUACCGUAAGAAUAAGCACCGGCUAACUACGUGCCAGCAGCCGCGGUAAUACGUAGGGUGCAAGCGUUAAUCGGAAUUACUGGGCGUAAAGAGUGCGCAGGCGGUUUUGUAAGACAGGCGUGAAAUCCCCGGGCUCAACCUGGGAAUUGCGCUUGUGACUGCAAGGCUGGAGUGCGGCAGAGGGGGAUGGAAUUCCGCGUGUAGCAGUGAAAUGCGUAGAUAUGCGGAGGAACACCGAUGGCGAAGGCAAUCCCCUGGGCCUGCACUGACGCUCAUGCACGAAAGCGUGGGGAGCAAACAGGAUUAGAAACCCCUGUAGUCC
rnacentral:rRNA from 1 species